rnacentral:tRNA from 1 species
GCCACCCUAGCUCAAUUGGCAGAGCAGCUCAUUUGUAAUGAGCAGGUUGCCGGUUCGAUUCCGGCGGGUGGCU